rnacentral:tRNA from 1 species
GGUAGCUCAGUGGUAGAGCUCCUGACUAGAGAUGCAGGUGUCCUGGGUUCGAUUCCCGGUC